GAGCGCUUAGCGGCUGCUGGGUGAUUCGUACCAGCGGCAGGUUAGGAGAGGAUGGAAAUUGAAGGUGCAUUGGUUACAUUCGAUUGUAAUUGAUAAUCGUAGUUUAUACAUCGAAUAUUUGUAUUAGCGAAGGGUCCUUGCUUAGGAAACUGUGAAGUACAUUCGCGGUGCGCAUUUGUGCGGCCAAGGGGACAGUAUGGUUUGGGAUUUGCGCGGCAGAGCCCCAGUGACGCACCACCGGCUGUCACCGCCACGCACAUCAGCCCCGAGAGCACUGCCUUGCGGCACGCUAGGCAGGCCACCCGCACGCAUCCCGGCGCGUCCUCCCCUGCACCUCUGCCCCUCUGCCUGCCUGUCAUAGAAACGUCGGGAGGGCCCCGGAUGGGCGAGGGCGGUGGGCAGGCCCUGAACUCAGAGCUGCGGUGGGGACGCACAUCCUGGACUCCGGGGAAGUGAAGAAGCAGGCAAGAAGCAAAAACCGGCCCUCCCCUCACCUCGGGUACAGAUAAGCCCUCCGUGGCCCAGCCUGUUGAUAUGCAGAUGUUCUAAAGCCAGGCGAGAUAUUCAGGAAAUGUGAGUUUUACCCACUCACUGAGCUGCACCUCCUUCCUCCCAGGAUGUCCCCUUAACACAAGCAUGCGGAUUUUCUACAUUUUAUUCUGGUGUCUGUACUCGCAAGUCCUUAAACAUGCC